CAAGAGCGUAUGUAAAAGUUGUUGCAGUUAAAAAGCUCGUAGUUGAACCUUGGGUUUGGUUGGCCGGUCCGCUUUUUUGCGAGUACUGGAUUCAACCGAGCCUUUCCUUCUGGCUAACCAGUCGUUUCGGCGGCUGGCGAACCAGGAUUUUUACUUUGAGAAAAUUAGAGUGUUCAAAGCAGGCAUUAGCUUGAAUAUAUUAGCAUGGAAUAAUAGAAUAGGACGUUAUGGUUCUAUUUUGUUGGUUUCUAGGACCAUCGUAAUGAUUAAUAGGGACGGUCGGGGGCAUCAGUAUUCAGUUGUCAGAGGUGAAAUUCUUGGAUUUACUGAAGACUAACUACUGCGAAAGCAUUUGCCAAGGACGCUUUCAUUAA
rnacentral:rRNA from 1 species